rnacentral:rRNA from 1 species
AUUGAACGCUGGCGGCAUGCCUUACACAUGCAAGUCGAACGGUAACGGGCCGUCUGUUGCCGACGAGUGGCUGACGGGUGGGUAAUACAUCGGAACGUGCCCUAUCGUUGGGGAUAACGAGGCUAAAGCUUUGCUAAUACCGCAUACGAUCUACGCAUGAAAGCAGGGGACCGCGAGGCCUUGCGCGGACGGAGCGGCCGGUGGCAGAUUAGGUAGUUGGUGGGAUAAACGCUUACCAAGCCGACGAUCUGUAGCUGUUCUGCGAGGCUGAUCAGCCACACUGGGACUGAGACAACGACAAGACUACUAAGGGACGGCGCAGUGGGGAAUUUUGGACAACGGGGGGAAGCCUGAUACAACCAUGCCGAGUGUAGGAUGACGGCCUUCGGGUUGUAAACUGCUUUUGUACGGAACGAAAAGCCUUCUUUUAAUACAGGAGGGUAAUGACGGUAACGUAAGAAUAAGCACCGGCUAACUACGUG